UAGCUCAGUCGGUUGAGCAUGGUGCUGAUAACACCAAGGUCGUGGGUUUGAUCCCCGC
rnacentral:tRNA from 1 species